GACUAAAACACAGUUUUAGUUUUUAUGGUUGUUGAUGCUUGUAAACGACAACGUUUAGCUAACUCCUAAUUUGCUACAUAUUUAUCUCGCAACGGACUCACGCCCGACACGCGGACGUUUUCUAAUGGAAUCGAAACCCUCACCGCCCGAACCCACCACCCCCGCCGCUGCCACCACGCUCCGCCACCGUCUGGCCAACCUUGACGCUACCCUCUCUCACCAGCUUCAUACUUUCUCGCAGCCCCUUCCCCGCGCGGUCCUCUUAUUUCUCGAACUUUCCGGCGAUGGUCGCUUCUUCUUCCCCGUUGUCAUCUCUCUACUCCUUUCCUCCUCCUCCUCCUCCUCCUCCUCCUCCUCUUCCUCUUCCUCUUCCUCUUCCUCUUCCUUCUCCGCUUCCCUCCACCGCAUUUUCGCCUCUCUUCUUCUCGGUGGCCUCCUCGACCUCGUCCUCGUCGGCCUUGCGAAGCACUUUGUCCGUCGACCCCGCCCCGUUUACAACAAGGGCAUGCACCUCACCGUCGCCGUUGAUCACUGGUCCUUCCCCAGCGGCCACUCCUCUAGGGUUUGCUUCAUCGCUUCAUUCUUGUGCCUCUUGUAUGCGCCUGUCACGGAGUCUAUCAAGCAUUACGGAGGUCCUAGUGGGGAAACAAUGUGGAGUCCAUGGUGUUUCUGGUGACUUAAUGCAUUCCGUCAUUUGAGGCUGGUCCCAGGGUUGCAAUGGGUAUAGAUGGAAGGUUGCUGUCGAAUGAUAAGGUCUUGAGAUUGAAUCUUGGGAGUGAUAGAAGUACGAGAUGGGAGAUGGACCUCCUCUAGUUGUGUACCCUAGGUCCAAUUUGGCGUUCAAUUGACAAAAAAGAAAAAAAAGAAAAAUACUAAUAUCAGGAUUUUGGUGGCUGUCAAAUUUAAUGUUUUGUCCAUUAUUCAUAAAAUGAUUAAAAUUGCAUUGUGUAUGUUCUCUUGCUCCUACUUAUCUAAAACUAUAUAGAUUUUAGAGCUU